rnacentral:rRNA from 1 species
UGCGUAGGCGGAAUGAUAAGUUAGUGGUGAAAGCCUCCGGCUCAACCGGAGAACUGCCAUUAAUACUGUCAUUCUUGAGUAUAGUUGAAGUGGGCGGAAUGUAUCAUGUAGCGGUGAAAUGCUUAGAUAUGAUACAGAACACCAAUAGCGUAGGCAGCUUGCUAAACUAUAACUGACGCUCAGGCACGAAAGCGUGGGGAGCAAACAGGAUUAGAUACCCUGGUAGUCC